GUGAAACUGUGUGAAGUUUUGAAUAACUGUAACCACACUUGAAACCACUUUAUCAGCAUUGCCGUAACUCAAUGUGACUUCAACAAAACUGCAGAGCCGACGUACACACUUCUGCGUAAGCAUGUGU